ACAGCAGUCGCCGCGGUAAAACGGAGGGUGCAAGCGUUAUCCGGAUUUAUUGGGUUUAAAGGGUCCGUAGGCGGAUCUGUAAGUCAGUGGUGAAAUCUCACAGCUUAACUGUGAAACUGCCAUUGAUACUGCAGGUCUUGAGUAAAUUUGAAGUGGCUGGAAUAAGUAGUGUAGCGGUGAAAUGCAUAGAUAUUACUUAGAACACCAAUUGCGAAGGCAGGUCACUAAGAUUUAACUGACGCUGAUGGACGAAAGCGUGGGGAGCGAACAGGAUUAGAUACCCCCGUAGUCCCUGUCUCUUAUAC
rnacentral:rRNA from 1 species